rnacentral:rRNA from 1 species
UACGUAGGGGCAAGCGUUGUCCGGAUUCAUUGGGCGUAAAGAGCUCGUAGGCGGUUCGAUAAGUCGGGUGUGAAACCUCCAGGCUCAACCUGGAGACGCCACCCGAUACUGUCGUGACUAGAGUCCAGUAGGGAGCGUGGAAUUCCUGGUGUAGCGGUGAAAUGCGCAGAUAUCAGGAGGAACACCAGCGGCGAAGGCGGCGCUCUGGGCUGGAACUGACGCUGAGGAGCGAAAGCGUGGGAGCGAACAGG